AUAUAUAUUUUUUUUAAUUUAUCAAAACUAACAAACAGGAUACCUGGUAUCACAAUCCUUGGAGCUUGAGGAAAUCUUCUCUUUUUAACAUCAGUGCAUUCCUCCUCUGAGUCAACAUCCUGACUAUAUACAGGGUUUGGUCUGAAACAAAGAAUCAGACAGCAUUAUAGACACAAUUUCAAAUAAAAUGUUAUCAAUUUCUUUAUUAUUUGUCAGUUUAAAUAACAUUACUUUGACUUUCUUCUUGGUCAUCCAUCAAACUCCAGUGUGAGGAUAGCCUUAAUACUUCAAAUGAACGAAAGAUGAACAAGAUCAAUCUUGUUGCUUUCGAUUUACAUGAGGGUGAGCAAUUAAUGACAGGAUUUUUAGGUGAACCAACCCUUUAAAAUAACACUUCAACAGAUGUUUACUUACCACAACUUAUUAAACAUCUCACUGGCUCAUAAAAAAUCCAUCCGUCACCUGGCUGGAGGCAUUUUUUUUACUGCGGAAUGAAUUUUCGAUCUCUCUUUGGGGGAAAAUGGCGGCCAUGAUAAUUUGUCACCAUGAAGCCAGUUCUGAGGGACUAUUUCAGUGCCACCAUUUUUAAACUGCACAAUGCACCACUGCUUCUUGUUUCACCAUGAGAAAAGAAAGAAAAGAUAGUAAAUAAAAACUAAAGACACACUGUAACCGAUUUCUGUAAUUUGAACAGUAUUUUACUGUAUUAUGUACAGUAAGAUACUGUAAAAUGUAUAUACAGUAUUUUACUGUAAACUGCAAAGGAUUAUGGGAAAAUGUAUGGUCACUACAGUAAACUACUGUAAAUUUACAGUAGUGAACUUGCCCGCGAAAAAUGGCAAGGGAGAUUUAUUUUGUUUGCUGUUUGGUGGAAGCAGAGGUAAAAAGACAAAAGAGACACUUUGCACUGUUAACUAGACAAAAAGGUUAGUAGGCAUAUAUUAUUUCUGUUUUACGCAAAACUGAGAUAUUUUAAGAUGUUUUAACUCAUUAACAGCAAACUAACAUUAUCCAUCGUGUCGUUUUUCAUGUCGGGAGUUGGGGCCUUUUUUUCUGACUGAAGGCCGGAUUAACGCCGCCAUAACGGUGAUAACAUCGACUGUCUAGAUUUUGUCGACAACGUCUGAGGUGUAUUUUGGCGCCUCUUCUUGUGACUGGCAUAGUUUCCAUGAUAACAUCAACUGUUUGUGAUCUUGUGGUGAUGUCGUCUGCAUCGGAGGAGUAUUGGAGUCUUUUCCUGUGAUUGCCGUCGUAAAAACAGGAGAUUUUUCCAAGAAAAAACAGGAUCCUGACUAUGACUAUCAUACAGCCAGCUGUCCGUUUUACAGAAAUGCAGAAUUAGGUUCAUUCAGAUCUUUGUGGCACCAAAUGCAUUGAAAGUCACAGGUCAGCUGGAAUUCUGGAAAGAGGGUGCAAAGAAAAAGGAUUUGCCUGAAAAGCUUGUCAACUUUGACUGUCAAAAUUACUGAAAUUUAACACAACACAAACUCAUUUUUAAUGUAUUAUUUGAUUUUAUUAACACUACCAGUCAAAAGUUUUUGAACAGUAAGAUUUUUAAUGUUUUUAAAGAAGCCUCUUCUGCUUACCAAGCCUGCAUUUAUUUGAUCCAAAGUACAGCAAAAACAGUACAAUUUUGAAAUAUUUUUACUAUUUAAAAUAAAUGUUUUCUAUUUGAAUAUAUUUUAAAAUGUAAUUUAUUUCUGUGAUCAAAGCUGAAUUUUCAGCAUCAUUACUCCAAUCUUCAGUGUCACAUGAUCCUUCAGAAAUCAUUGUAAUAUUCUGAUUUGCUGCUCAAAAAAACUAUUAUUAUUAUAAUUGUGUUGAAAACAGCUUCAGGUUUCCUUGAUGAAUAGAAA